rnacentral:rRNA from 1 species
AUGGAUCAUGAGGUCCUGGAGCGUAUACUUGAUGGAAGAGAAAAUCCGACAAAUCUAUCACUCUCACUUUUGAAGGAUAUCACCGAAAAUUUCUCAGAGGAUCGAGAAAUUGGCCAUGGUGGAUUUGCAACAGUUUAUAAGGGAGUGCUCCCGAAUGGGAACGUUGCGGUAAAGAGGAUAAAGAACAGUCAUUCAAUCAAGGAGACAUUGUUUUAUCACGAAGUUGACAGCCUGUUGAACAUUGAACAUGAAAAUAUUAUACGGUUUCUUGGCUUCUGUGCUAGCACAGAUCAGACGGCAAUAAAAAUUGAAGGAUUGAAACAACAUAUUUAUGCCGAGGUACGAGAAAGACUACUCUGUUUUGAGUAUGUUAGCAAUGGAAGCCUGAGAAAGUAUAUUACAGAUGAAUUAAGGGGACUUAAAUGGGACACACGUUAUGAAAUAAUUAGAGGCAUUUGUGAAGGUUUGUACCAUCUGCACCAUGUAAAGAAAAUAUACCAUAUGGAUAUGAAACCUGAGAAUAUACUGCUAGACAAUGAUAUGGUUCCGAAAAUCACUGAUUUUGGUUUAUCGAGACUCGAUGAGAAGUCACAAACCAUGAGUGAAGUCCGUCUUGGAUCACUUGGAUACUGUGCUCCAGAAUACACAAUUCAGGGAAAGAUGUCUUUCAAAUCAGACAUGCUCAGUUUGGGAGUUAUAAUUAUUGAACUAGUGACAGGACAAAAGGUGAUCCCCAAGAAUAAAAACAAUGUACUUAGGAGAUGGAGGCAUAGAUGGAGGAAAACAGGGAAGGGAACACAGUUGGUUUACCAACAAGUAGAAAAAUGCAUGGAAAUUGGGUUACUUUGUCAGGAAAUUGACCCGUCUGAACGACCUUUUAUAUGGGAUAUCAUAGAUGAUAUCAGACAAGUGGAACGUGUUAAUGGGUCAAUCAGAAAUGACUCUGAAUAUAAGUUUGGACAGCUAAGCCCUUACUCGGAGGACGACGAUAUGCUUGGAAUUGAGCCGCUCGAACUACAUUUUCCUUUCCAGCUUAACAAACAGAUGUCAUGCACCAUUCAGCUAACCAAUGAGACAGACUCUUACAUUGCCUUCAACGUCGAACAUAUGAACCCUCUGUCAUACUGUGCACAACCGCAGAAAGACAUUAUGCCACCACGAUCCAAGUGUAAUGUCAAAAUAACAAUGCAACCGCAGGCCAAGGCACCGAGAGAUCAUACCAACGAAUUCACUGUUUGGAGCACAAAAGUGAAUGAUGGCCUUGCCAUUGAGGAUAUGGCUACAAUCAAGUUUAUUAAAGAGGCAGCCAACGUGGUUGAUGACGUGAAUUUGGAUGUGGUUUUUGAUGUCAGUGAGCCACAAGAAGCAAGAAGCACGAAGCAACUGCACGUGAUACAGGCACCGAGACAGAGAUUACAGAUGAUGCAGUCGGUCCGUUCUUUUGUAUAG